UACAGAGGCCCCAAGCGUUACCCGGAAUCACUGGGCGUAAAGCGUGUGUAGGUGGUCAUAUUAGUCGUCCGUUAAAACCCAGGGCCUAACCUUGGAAGUGCGGGCGAAACGGUAUGACUCGAGGGCGUGAGAGGUGCAUAGAACUCUAGGUGUAGGGGUGAAAUCCGUUGAUAUCUAGGGGAAUACCGAAAGCGAAGGCAGUGCACUGGCGCGUUCCUGACACUCAAGCACGAAGGCGUGGGUAGCGAACGGG
rnacentral:rRNA from 1 species